CGUCGUUUUAACAUACACUAGAUGACAUAACCAUUGGUACGAUCCGAAAUGAGCACGUUUUGGGGAGCAGAAGAAUGCGAAACUCACUUGCCAACACGGUGACUACGCGCAUGUGGAGCUCCCCAAAAGUAGACACGGCGGCAGCGCCGCCGGCGAUAAGACAGGUGCCGACAGGCGACGACGCUACCUUCAAGCAUCGGACGCACUGUGGGAACCGUAGGAUGCAAGCGCGCACACGCUACAAACAUACACGGGUGGUGGUACUAUACUCCUGCAUUCUGCUGCUGCUCCUGCUCCGCGUAUACCGACGUCGUUCAGUCGCAGCACGAUGGCACUUUCUUUCGAGAACUUUUACUUAGGCUGUACAUGAUCUAGGUGCACCUAUGAGGAAUUGCUGGGAUUUCGUCGAUGGAACUUCAGGAUCCAUCUGCCAACCAACCUACCACCAGUGAGGGUACAACUCUGGACACAAACGGGAGCACGUUGUCAAAUAUUAGACCGUUAUGUUUGCCAAUGGCAUAGCCUGCGACCUUCAUGGCUCAUCUUACCUCCAUAGCAUGCUCAGAGCGCAGCACCUCGUCUCGACCUACUAGACAGAGCGAUUAUCUUUUCUCACUGACAUGAUGUAUUUCUUGUUUUGUUUUCGUGGUGCAAAAAAUGCGGCAAGGAUGCUGCAUUUUUACACGAUUUUUAAUUUUUUGCCUUCUCGAGGAGUGCGAAUCUUUCGCAUUUUUGUUUUUGUAUAAUUAUACUCCUUAUUGUA